AUUGGAAGUAAAAGUCGUAACAAGGUUUCCGUAGGUGAACCUGCGGAAGGAUCAUUAUUGAAUGAACUUGGUGUGGUUGUCGCUGGCCCUCUUGGGGGCAUGUGCACACCUACCAUCCUCAUCUCUCCACCUGUGCACCUCUUGUAGAUUUGGAAUUGAUUAUCCGAGGCAACUCGGUCGUGAGGACUGCUAGCACUUAGCUGGCUUUCUUUGCAAUUCCAGGUCUAUGUUUUUCAUAUACCCCAUUGUAUGUAACAGAAUGUAUCAUUGGGCCUUGUGCCUAUAAACCUUAUACAACUUUCAGCAACGGAUCUCUUGGCUCUCGCAUCGAUGAAGAACGCAGCAAAAUGCGAUAAGUAAUGUGAAUUGCAGAAUUCAGUGAAUCAUCGAAUCUUUGAACGCACCUUGCGCUCCUUGGUAUUCCGAGGAGCAUGCCUGUUUGAGUGUCAUUAAAUUCUCAACCAUUAUCAACUUUUGCUGAUAAUGGCUUGGAUGUGGGGGUCUAUUUUGCUGGCUUCUCAGAUAGUCAGCUCCCCUUAAAUGCAUUAGCCGGUGCCCCGCGUGGACUGUCUAUUGGUGUGAUAAUUAUCUACGCUAUAGACAUCUGCAAUCAUAUGGGUUUGCGCUGCUUCUAACAGUCUGUUGAUUCAGACAAUACAUGACAAUUUGACCUCAAAUCAGGUAGGACUACCCGCUGAACUUAAGCAUAUCAAUAAGCGGAGGAAAUC
rnacentral:rRNA from 1 species